AUCCAGCUGAUGAGUCCCAAAUAGGACGAAAAGCCCGUCCUGGAU
rnacentral:hammerhead_ribozyme from 1 species